UUAACGUGUUAAUCAUAAAAAGUCACUCUCCAAGGAAGUAUACUGAAACAUCCGGAUGUGAGGUUAUAAUUUAAAACAGAAGCAAAAGAGCUCUUCUUAAAAGAAGUAAAACUCUUAAUUCAAACUUAACUAGAUAGCUAAUAAUGACAGUGAAAAUGCUGGCAUGUAUAGAUAUUGGGAAGUCUUGGGAUUUGGAUUUUAUUACUGACCAUCUGG
rfam:Tupaia belangeri cont1.156261, whole genome shotgun sequence.